UUUGAUCCUAAAUCUGUGGUCUACCUCGGGCUGGUCUUUCCACUCAACUGUCUGAAGUUGUCCUCUCUGUCCUUGCAUGCUAACAGUCUGGUAUUCACAGCAAAUUUUGAAAAGUCAUCAGUCUGGUUGGCCAGAGGAGAGGGGUCACCUCCUUUCCCAGUCGCCUCUCCCCACCUCAUCCCUCCUCCUCUCCCCUCCCUUCUUCUACCAACAGAGAAUACCUGGAAUGUUUUAUUGACAGGCAGAACACAAUGGGUCGACAGGGAGGAGACAAGUAGCAUGAGACCUGGAGAGACCAGACCAGCCAAUAUCCCACACCAGCCACUGUCAAGAUGCACUUCAAGAAGUAGGUAUGUUGCUUUAUCUUACUUUUGGAAAUCAUUUGAAAAUAUGUUUUACAAAGGACUUUAGUUGUAAAAAUAACCAUAUGAUUUUCUUUUUUACAGGUGCUUCUCCCUUUGAAGCAUAAGGGAUAGGCGGAUAAGAGUACCUUACAAACGCAUCACCAUCAUGAGUCAAGGUUUGCUAUUAUACAACAUUCUCUCUGUUACUGUACUGUCAUCCCUCUAUUGAAACUAAUACUACAGCCUAGCUCACUGUCAUUAACAGCAUGUUGUGAUCGACUAAACUGAGCUGCAUACCUGCCAGAAGGGUGAUUUUGUGUCAGUCUGGACACAGGGAUGAGACACAAGCAGUGGUGGAAUUAGGCAUAGGCGGCAUGGGGCGCCUGCACAAAAAAAAAAUAAUUUUCAAAAAUUGAACGUAAAAAAUAUUCUGAAUGGUGACAUUUGCACGAUCGGUUUUCUAUUGCUCAUUUGCACGUCACGUCAAUGAUAUCAUGUCACUGUGUGGGACUGUGGGUCAAUUAAUCUAGUCGGAGUGGGAGCUUGGCAGGCUACUGCCUGGGAAGGUCUCCCACUCAGAAGUACGAGAUGGGGAAGGGGGGCGGGGGUAAGUUGACCUCAGGUCUCCCCACUGGAAGCCCGAGGUAGGGGGAGCGGGAGAAUCUAUCAAAUAGGGCACCUCUAACUUUGUACAGUACUAAUACAAUUAGUUGUGUAAUUUAGUUUGUGUGUUUCUUGUUUGAAGUGCAAUAGUGUAAUAAUCAGGUUCUCUUCUUUAUAAAUGUGUUAUUAUAUUUGUGUAUUGUGUGAUAUAGGAUUUGUGCAAUUUAGUUUUGUGUUUUUUUGUUAAAAAUAAAUAGAAUAGAAAUAUAUAUACAAACAUAAUACUCAUAAGUAUCAAAAAGAAGUAACAAAGACAAAUAGAAACAAAUUGUAGUAUAUAAAUACAAAUAAAGAUACUUGAAUUAU
rnacentral:lncRNA from 13 species